rnacentral:rRNA from 1 species
CCGUAGCCCAAGAGAUCGGGAUAACACCUGGAAACAGAUGCUAAUACCGGAUAACAACAGAUGAUGCCUAUCAACUGUUUAAAAGAUGGUUCUGCUAUCACUCUUGGAUGGACCUGCGGUGCAUUAGCUAGUUGGUAGGGUAACGGCCUACCAAGGCGAUGAUGCAUAGCCGAGUUGAGAGACUGAUCGGCCACAUUGGGACUGAGACACGGCCCAAACUCCUACGGAGGCAGCAGNG